AGGUCAAACCUCCACAGGAUCCAUUACCACCACCAACACGACUAGCUCUUACCACAUUUGACACUUUUGAGUAACAACCCAAAGAAUUUGAAUUUGAUGUGCUCGCCAUUGUCAUUAAUGGCAGUCCUUCAACAAAGACUACAACUGGAAAACGAAUUCAAGAGUUUAUUGUCAUGGACAAGCUG